AUUGAACGCUGGCGGCAUGCUUAACACAUGCGAGUCGAACGGUAACGCGGGGGCAACCCUGGCGACGAGUGGCGGACGGGUGAGUAAUGCUUAGGAAUCUGCCUAGUAGUGGGGGACAACCCGAGGAAACUCGGGCUAAUACCGCAUAAGUCCUACGGGAGAAAGCGGGGGACCGUAAGGCCUCGCGCUAUUAGAUGAGCCUAAGUCCGAUUAGCUAGUUGGCGGGGUAACGGCCCACCAAGGCGAUGAUCGGUAGCUGGUCUGCGAGGAUGAUCAGCCACACUGCGACUGAGACACGGCCCAGACUCCUACGGGAGGCAGCAGUGGGGAAUAUUGGACAAUGGGCGCAAGCCUGAUCCAGCAAUGCCGCGUGUGUGAAGAAGGCCUGCGGGUUGUAAAGCACUUUCGGUUGGGAAGAAAAGACCAAAGCUAAUACCUUUGGGACUUGACACUACCUUCAUAAGAAGCACCGGCUAACUCCGUGCCAGCCGCCGCGGUAAAAC
rnacentral:rRNA from 1 species